AUCUUCCUCUCCAGGGUGCCCUCCCUGUUGUCCUGCCCUCCAGGUCGUAGGCAGGAUGCCUUUCCCUUACCCUAUUCUCCAAGAUGCAGACAGGAUGACCUGCUUGUCGUUCUGCCCGGCCCGUUAUCCUUUCCUCCAGGGUGUCCUGCCCAUCAUCCUACCUUCCAAGGUGUUGGCAGUGUCCUGUAUGUCACUGUUCUCUCCAGGGUGUCCUGUUCAUCAUCCUGCCUACAAAGGUGCAGGCAGAGCUAUGCUGGGAAAGGCAGGAGGAGGAGGAAGAGCAGCAGGGGCAGUGGUGCUCACAGGAAACCAUCACAUCUCCUCUCGCUCCGUGGCUUUGUUGCGGAGGUUUACCAUCCCCAGAUUUCUCAGCCUGUCUUCAUUGCAGCUGUGCUCCAGCCCUUGAAGCACCUUUGGGUUCAUACUCUGGACUCACUCCAGCAGCUCCACAACCUUCUGAUGCUGUGAUCCCCAGAACUAGAGGCAGCAGUGCAUGUGGGGUCCCUCCUGAGCAGAGAUGGGGGGGACAAACGCCCCUCCAUGCUGCCAUGGUGCUGGGGAUGCAGCCCAGGACAGGGUUGGCUUACUGGGCUGCCAGCACACGUUGCUCAUGUCAAGCUUCCCCAAUGGCUUGGGGUGGUUUGUAAUCCUCCCUGUGCACUUGAUGGGAUGACAGGGUCCUAAUUAGAUGGAGCAUGCAAACCACUGGGGACAGGCAUUCCAAUUUAAACCAGCUCCACCUCAGCAGAGCCAGUGGCAGGCACUGCCACCCCUGUGCCCAGCACACCGUGUCCUCCCAACCCACUCAGCCAGGGACAGCACAGGCUGUGAAUUUCAGCACCCGCUGUGAAUUUCAGGGUCAGAGGAAUGGGGAACAUUCCCUACACCAGAGCCACAAUCAGCAGUGUUUCAGAGUUGGAGGUGUUUACAUCAUCAAGCUCAGCAAUUACUCAGACAAAUUUGCAUGCAUUUUCUAUGGGCAUCUCUGCUGCCUUUUUUAUUUUCUGCUUGAAAACCUUGCUGGAAUCUGCAAAACUGCCUCUGCCACUGGGAAGGGAUUGCUGGGUUGUUCCUUUCUAAGAAGGUGCUGAACAUAACUCCUGAUGCCGGUGACACAUUGGCCCUCUUAUUCAAAAGAUUUUCCACCAAAUAAAAUGGCAAAAAAAAAAUUAUCAGAGACAGGAGUUGUGUGGCCAUUGCCUGCUUUUGUGCCCCGGUGCUGCUGCCUGUAUCCUCCUGCCUGCUGCAGGGGACUGACUGAUGCUUGCUGGUGUUUUCUGUUUACUUUAAUUGUUGUCUGGUUUUAAUAUUGCUUGAAUUGAUUCAUCUGUGUUUCAUUGUCGGCCCUGUUUGUUUUGGGGCAGUGCCUGGAAUACCACUGGCAGAUAAGUGCUGGACAAAGAGAAGGUAUUUUUCUUGCUCAGCAGAAGAUGAGGAGUGACCAAGCUGUGCCUCAGUCCGAGAGGAUCCUGAGCAGCACCUGCCUCCAGUUCCUAGGGUCCUGCUGCAAUACUCACCACCCCAAAUUCUCACCCACGAGGAGGACUGUCCUUCCUUGGAUCCCCCAUGCAGAUGCAUUUCACUGUAUGCCCAGAGCUACUGAAGUCAAAACCAUGUCAGAUCUGUUCUGGCUGCAUCCUUGCUGCCUUGGGCAGAGUCCUGGGCGCCCCUUGGACAAGCCAUGGGCAUUAGGUGGCACCAGACACUGCCAGAGCAGUAGUUCAGAGCCAGCCUGCAAAGAUGCUCUGCUCUCACCAUCAUCAUCCUCAUCAGAACAAAGACACAGAGCAGGGGACUGGGGGCAGGAUAGCAUCCUCCUGCCAGCCCUGGGAAGAUUUUUUCACACUGUUCCUCCACCUCAUCCUGUACUGGUAGGUCUCAAAAAGAUACCUUGAACAGGGGCCGUGGUUGGGGCUCUGGCCGAGUGCAAUUGGUGGGGUUUCUGCUUUCUUCUGUGCCUCCUUUCUUCCAUGCUGAGGAGCUGGAGAGAGCCAGAGCAUUCUCAGGAGUACUGCAAGGGGCAGCCAUGCUUUGGGGCAGGAUCUGGGGGGAACCCUGCCUUUUCCAGAGGAUCCAGGGCAGCCCCAGCACUGUUCUGUGCACCCCAGCUGCAUUCCAAGCCAAAUCUCCACCAGCUUACUGCAUGAGCCCAGCUGGAGCUUGGAGGAGGCAUUUCUCCCUGUGCAGCUCUCAAGCUCUGGAGAGAAGCUCAGCGUCUCCCUCUAACGAUGCGCAGACACCUGCAGC